rnacentral:rRNA from 1 species
AUGAGUGUGGAGUACAAUAUGGAUGAAGCUUUGAAAGCACGAAAUACUGCAGAGAGCAAGUUUCAUGCGCGCGACCUCAGGGGCGCACGCAAGUACGCGGUCAAGGCCCAGAAUCUCUGCCCAUCACUUGAGGGCAUAUCCCAGAUGGCGUCGACUCUUGAAGUUCAUCUUGCAGCGGAGUCCAAGAUUGAUGGAGAGAGUGACUGGUACCGGAUCUUGUCCCUGCCCGCCUUUGCAGAUGAAGAGGAUGUGAAGAAGCAGUACAGGAAGCUAGCUCUCCAGCUGCACCCUGAUAAGAACAAGUCAGUCGGUGCUGAGGAGGCCUUUAAACUGAUCUCUGAGGCUUGGAGUGUGUUGUCUGAUACUAGUCGGAAGACAAUUUAUGAUCAGAAGAGGUCAGAUCAUUCUGUUGUCAACGUAACCAAUGGCAUGUAUACGUAUGACAAGAAGGCGACCAAGAGAGCUCGAAAGAAUGCUGCUGCUGCCGCCGCCGCUGCGGCUGCUGCGGCGGCUGCUGCUGAGGCUACUGCUCGUCCUGCUGGUGUUGAUACUUUCUGGACAUCUUGCAAUCGCUGCCGUAUGCAGUAUGAGUACUUAAGAAUGUAUCUUAAUCAUAACCUUCUGUGCCCAAACUGCCAUCAUGCGUUCAUGGCGGUAGAGACUGGAUUUCCUUGCAACGGAAGCAGUUCAUCUUUCUCCUGGUCAACCAAGCAGCAGCCACAGAACCACAGUUCCACCAAACAUUCAUAUGGCUCAACAAGCAGGACUUCUAGCAUUCCGGGGACAGGGCAUGUGGGGUAUCAGCAAGAUAGUACUUACGAUUCCUACAACAGUCAAAGCUUUCAGUGGAAUCAGUACUCCAAGACAGCGCCUGCAGCUGACACAAAUGCGUACAGUACCCAGGCUUCCGAGAAACCUAGAAGAAAUGAAGAGAGCUACAGCUACAACUACCCUGAAAGUGGAAACACAUGUGACCCUGAGAGAACUACUUCAAGGCGUGGCCGGUUUGCAAAGCGGAGAAGGCAUAGUAAUGAUUAUACUACUGUGGAUUAUGCUGGAGAUAACAAAGAAACAGUGGUUGUAAGCACAGAGACAAAUGCUUUCACUGAUGUGGGGCGGGUUAAUGGCACUUCAGUGGAAAAGAUGAGAUCUGCAGUGAGUGUAAGGAGAGCUAAUGUUUUGAGAGAGAUCUCCCAGAUUGAUACACGGGGUCUACUUGUUGAGAAAGCCAAAGAAGCCGUCCGGGGAAAAUUGCAAGAGCUGAGCAUGGCAGCAUGUUCACGGUUUGCAGAGAAAAGGAAGUCAGAAGGAAAGGUAUAUCCUAGUGACAACAACAUAAAGGCAAAUGGGGUCCUCUCUGGCAAGCCUGGCAAAGGACUCAAGCUAUGCAGUUCAAUAAGUGUCGACACCCACAUACCUGCAACUGCAACUGAUGAAAAGAAUCCAGAACAGAAGCGUGUGCCUGUUUCGAUUGAUGUCCCAGAUCCUGACUUCCAUGAUUUUGAUAAGGAUCGCACAGAGAGAGCUUUUUAUAGUGACCAAGUAUGGGCUACAUAUGACAGUGAGGAUGGAAUGCCUCGUCUAUAUGCAAUGGUGCAGAAAGUUCUUUCAAUGAGACCUUUCAGAAUCCGCAUGAGUUUCCUCAAUUCCAAAUCCAAUAUUGAACUGUCGCCAAUAAACUGGGUUGCCUCUGGUUUCCAGAAAACAUGUGGCGAUUUUAGGGUUGGAAGGUACCAGAUUACGGAAACAGUCAACAUAUUUUCGCACAAAGUCAGCUGGACUAAAGGCCCCCGUGGGAUUAUCAGAAUUAUUCCUCAGAAAGGUGAUACAUGGGCUUUGUACCGAGACUGGUCUCCUGAUUGGAACGAGCUUACACCUGAUGAUGUUGCUGGCUUCAAAGCUGUGUUCCAUAGGCACAUGGACCCCAAGGAGGUGAGGAGGAUACCAAAGGGUGAGCUGUUUCGAUUCUCGCAUCAGGUUCCUUCUCGACUGCUGACUGGUGAAGAAGGCAACAAUGCCCCGGAAGGUUGUCAUGAGCUCGAUCCUGCUGCAACCCCAGUGGACCUUCUUAAGGUUAUUACAGAGGUGAAUGAAGACGUGGCGGCGCAGACUGCUGAAUAG